UGGGGAAUCUUGCACAAUGGGGGAAACCCUGAUGCAGCGACGCCGCGUGAGCGAUGAAGCCCUUCGGGGUGUAAAGCUCUUUCGGCAGGAACGAUAAUGACGGUACCUGCAGAAGAAGCUGCGGCUAACUACGUGCCAGCAGCCGCGGUAAUACGUAGGCAGCGAGCGUUGUUCGGAGUUACUGGGCGUAAAGAGUGCGUAGGUGGUUCUCUAAGUUCGGUGUGAAAUCUCCCGGCUCAACCGGGAGGGUGCGCCGAAAAACUGGAGGGGCUGGAGUGCGGGAGAGGAGAGCGGAAUUCCUGGUGUAGCGGUGAAAUGCGUAGAUAUCAGGAGGAACACCUGUGGUGCAGACGGCUCUCUGGACCGCUACUGACACUGAGGCACAAAGCGUGGGGAGCAAACAGGAUUAGAUACCCUGGUAGUCCACGCCCUAAACGAUGCAUACUUGGUGUGGGUCAUUCAGUUGAUCCGUGCCGGAGCUAACGCGUUAAGUAUGCCGCCUGGGGAGUACGGUCGCAAGGCUGAAACUCAAAUGAAUUGACGGGGUCAUAGCU
rnacentral:rRNA from 1 species